GACGAACGCUGGCGGCGUGCUUAACACAUGCAAGUCGAGCGGUAAGGCCCUUUCGGGGGUACACGAGCGGCGAACGGGUGAGUAACACGUGGGUGACCUGCCCUCAGCUCUGGGAUAAGCCUGGGAAACCGGGUCUAAUACUGGAUAUGACUCCAUGACGCAUGUUGUGGGGUGGAAAGCCUUGUGCGGCUGAGGAUGGGCCCGCGGCCUAUCAGCUUGUUGGUGGGGUGANGGCCUACCAAGGCGACGACGGGUAGCCGGCCUGAGAGGGCGACCGGCCACACUGGGACUGAGACACGGCCCAGACUCCUACGGGAGGCAGCAGUGGGGAAUCUUAGCGCAAUGGGCGAAAGCCUGACGCAGCGACGCCGCGUGAGGGACGACGGCCUCGGUU
rnacentral:rRNA from 1 species